rnacentral:rRNA from 1 species
UACGUAGGUGGCAAGCGUUGUCCGGAUUUACUGGGCGUAAAGAGCGCGCAGGCGGUCGUUCAAGUCGCGUGUGAAAGCCCCCGGCUCAACUGGGGAGGGUCACGCGAUACUGAUCGACUCGAAGGCAGGAGAGGGAAGCAGAAUUCCCGGUGUAGUGGUGAAAUGCGUAGAUAUCGGGAGGAAUACCAGUGGCGAAGGCGGCUUCCUGGCCUGUUCUUGACGCUGAGGCGCGAAAGCUAGGGUAGCAAACGGG